CCAAAAAACUCCUCCAUUACACCAGCGGUAGCUGAUGGAGUCCCCCGACUUGUUUAUCAAGAUGGAGGAAGAGGACCGG